rnacentral:rRNA from 1 species
AUACGGAAGGUCCUGGCGUUAUCCGGAUUUAUUGGGUUUAAAGGGAGCGCAGGCCGGUGUGUAAGCGUGACGUCAAAUACAGCCGCUCGACGGUUGUCCGCGUCGCGACCUGCACGCCUUGAGUACGCUGCAAGUGGGCGGAAUUCGUGGUGUAGCGGUGAAAUGCUUAGAUAUCACGAAGAACUCCGAUUGCGAAGGCAGCCCGCUGUCGCGUGACUGACGCUGAGGCUCGAAGGUGCGGGUAUCGAACAGGAUUAGAUACCCUGGUAGUCCGCACUGUAAACGAUGGACACCCGCUGUGUGGCCUGUUAUGGUUGCGCGGCCAAGCGAAAGCAUUAAGUGUCCCACCUGGGGAGUACGCCGGCAACGGUGAAACUCAAAUGAAUUGACGGGG